UACGUAGGGUGCAAGCGUUGUCCGGAAUUAUUGGGCGUAAAGAGCUCGUAGGCGGUUUGUCGCGUCUGCUGUGAAAACUCGGGGCUUAACCCCGGGCCUGCAGUGGAUACUGGCAGGCUGGAGUAUGGUAGAGGAAGGUGGAAUUCCCGGUGUAGCAGUGAAAUGCGUAGAGAUCGGGAAGAACACCCGUGGCGAAGGCGGCUCCCUGGGACGGUACUGACGCUGAGACGCGAAAGCGUGGGGAGCGAACAGG
rnacentral:rRNA from 1 species